UCCAAAUUGAUUGUCUUUAAAAGAUAUACAACUUUCAUGUUUAUAGUUUUAUCAUUUGGAGCUUGCAUCACUGAGACAGAAGGGCUUGAAGUUUGGCCAAUUUUGAAAAUUCCACAUAUGCAUGUUUUGCACCCUAAACUUCAAGUUUAAUUUAUAUUAAUUUCCAAGGCCUAAAUGGAGUUUUGAUCAACAUGACAUUUG
rnacentral:lncRNA from 1 species